GACGAACGCUGGCGGCGUGCCUAAUACAUGCAAGUUGAGCGCUGAAGGUUGGUACUUGUACCAACUGGAUGAGCAGCGAACGGGUGAAUAACGCGUGGGGAAUCUGCCUUUGAGCGGGGGACAACAUUUGGAAACGAAUGCUAAUACCGCAUAAAAACUUUAAACACAAGUUUUAAGUUUGAAAGAUGCAAUUGCAUCACUCAAAGAUGAUCCCGCGUUGUAUUAGCUAGUUGGUGAGGUAAAGGCUCACCAAGGCGAUGAUACAUAGCCGACCUGAGAGGGUGAUCGGCCACAUUGGGACUGAGACACGGCCCAAACUCCUACGGGAGGCAGCAGUAGGGAAUCUUCGGCAAUGGACGAAAGUCUGACCGAGCAACGCCGCGUGAGUGAAGAAGGUUUUCGGAUCGUAAAACUCUGUUGGUAGAGAAGAACGUUGGUGAGAGUGGAAAGCUCAUCAAGUGACGGUAACUACCCAGAAAGGGACGGCUAACUACGUG
rnacentral:rRNA from 1 species